rnacentral:rRNA from 1 species
UAUGGAAUCUUCGGCAAUGGGGGCAACCCUGACCGAGCAACGCCGCGUGAGUGAAGAUGGUUUUCGGAUCGUAACGCUUUGUUGUAAGAGAAGAACGUGUGUGAGAGUGGAAAGUUCACACCGUGACGGUAUCUUACCAGAAAGGGACGGCUAACUACGUGCCAGCAGCCGCGGUAAUACGUAGGUCCCGAGCGUUUUCCGGACUUAUUGGGCGUAAAGCGAGCGCAGGCGGUUUAAUAAGUCUGAAGUUAAAGGCAGUGGCUUAACCAUUGUUCGCUUUGGAAACUGUUAAACUUGAGUGCAGAAGGAGAGAGUGGAGUUCCAUGUGUAGCGGUGAAAUGCGUAGAUAUAUGGAGGAACACCGGUGGCGAAAGCGGCUCUCUGGUCUGUAACUGCCGCUGAGGCUCGAAAGCGUGGGGAGCAAACAGG